rnacentral:misc_RNA from 1 species
GCGCCUCGCCGUCGAGCUUCCGCAUCGCUUGGAUCGAGCGCCGCUAUCAGGACGGCUCGCUGGCCUCCACCGAACGCUGGUCAGCCAUCCUCACCGUCAUUGUACAGCCGCCGCGCGACGCNNNNNNNNNNCCUCGGAAUCUACAUCAACGCCAUCAACUGGUCGAAGGAGCUUGGACAAUGACGCCCGCACUCCGCAAAGCCGCCCCCUGGAGUGCAGGGCGUCCGGCUUUCCUCAUCAAC